GAUCCUGGCUCAGGAUAAACGCUAGCUACAGGCUUAACACAUGCAAGUCGAGGGGCAGCAUCAUCAAAGCUUGCUUUGAUGGAUGGCGACCGGCGCACGGGUGAGUAGCACGUAUCCAACCUGCCGACAACACUGGGAUAGCCUUUCGAAAGAAAGAUUAAUACCGGAUGGUAUAGUUUUCCCGCAUGGGAUGAUUAUUAAAGAAUUUCGGUUGUCGAUGGGGAUGCGUUCCAUUAGGCAGG
rnacentral:rRNA from 1 species